GACGAACGCUGGCGGCGUGCCUAAUACAUGCAAGUUGAGCGCUGAAGGUUGGUACUUGUCCCAACUGGCUGAGCAGCGAACGGGUGAGUAACGCGUGGGGAAUCUGCCUUUGAGCGGGGGACAACAUUUGGGAACGAAUGCUAAUACCGCAUAAAAACUUUAAACACAAGUUUUAAGUUUGAAAGAUGCAAUUGCAUCACUCAAAGAUGAUCCCGCGUUGUAUUAGCUAGUUGGUGAGGUAAAGGCUCACCAAGGCGAUGAUACAUAGCCGACCUGAGAGGGUGAUCGGCCACAUUGGGACUGAGACACGGCCCAAACUCCUACGGGAGGCAGCAGUAGGGAAUCUUCGGCAAUGGACGAAAGUCUGACCGAGCAACGCCGCGUGAGUGAAGAAGGUUUUCGGAUCGUAAAACUCUGUUGGUAGAGAAGAACGUUGGUGAGAGUGGAAAGCUCAUCAAGUGACGGUAACUACCCAGAAAGGGACGGCUAACUACGUG
rnacentral:rRNA from 1 species